UACAGAGGGUGCAAGCGUUAAUCGGAAUUACUGGGCGUAAAGCGUGCGCAGGCGGCUUCUCAAGUCAGGGGUGAAAGCCCAGAGCUCAACUCUGGAAUUGCCUUUGAGACUGAGUGGCUUGAGUACGAGAGAGGUGAGUGGAAUUCCCAGUGUAGAGGUGAAAUUCGUAGAUAUUGGGAAGAACACCGGUGGCGAAGGCGG
rnacentral:rRNA from 1 species